AAACCCUGCCGGCGAAAUGCUACCUGAAGCCACCACUUCCUCCGGCCACGGCCAGAAACGGCCAAGAACACAGUCGCCACCUCCACCGCCGAGAUCAGAACCAGAAACCACCAUUACCACACAUCUCGCAGGUCAUGAGGAAGGCGAUGCGCCCACUGAUGCACCCAGCAAUGUGCCAAGCGCUAUGCCCAGCGAUGUGCCC
rnacentral:lncRNA from 1 species